GAUGAACGCUGGCGGCGUGCCUAAUACAUGCAAGUCGAGCGAACAGACGAGGAGCUUGCUCCUCGGACGUUAGCGGCGGACGGGUGAGUAACACGUUGAUAACCUACCUAUAAGACUGGGAUAACUUCGGGAAACCGGAGCUAAUACCGGAUAAUAUAUUGAACCGCAUGGUUCAAUAGUGAAAGACGGUUUUGCUGUCACUUAUAGAUGGAUCCGCGCCGCAUUAGCUAGUUGGUAAGGUAACGGCUUACCAAGGCAACGAUGCGUAGCCGACCUGAGAGGGUGAGCGGCCACACUGGAAGUGAGACACGGUCCAGACUCCUACGGGAGGCAGCAGUAGGGAAUCUUCCGCAAUGGGCGAAAGCCUGACGGAGCAACGCCGCGUGAGUGAUGAAGGUCUUCGGAUCGUAAAACUCUGUUAUUAGGGAAGAACAAAUGUGUAAGUAACUAUGCACGUCUUGACGGUACCUAAUCAGAAAGCCACGGCUAACUACGUG
rnacentral:rRNA from 1 species